rnacentral:rRNA from 1 species
GACGUAGGGCGCGAGCGUUGUCCGGAUUUAUUGGGCGUAAAGAGCUCGUAGGCGGCUUGUCGCGUCGACUGUGAAAUCCCGCGGCUCAACCGCGGGUCUGCAGUCGAUACGGGUAGACUGGAGUGCGGUAGGGGAGAUCGGAAUUCCUGGUGUAGCGGUGAAAUGCGCAGAUAUCAGGAGAACACCGGUGGCGAAGGCGGAUCUCUGGGCCGUAACUGACGCUGAGGGGCGAAAGCAUGGGGAGCGAACAGG